rnacentral:sRNA from 1 species
GCGGAGGAAAAGAAACCAACAGGGAUUGCCCUAGUAACGGCGAGUGAAGCGGCAACAGCUCAAAUUUGAAAUCUGGCUCUCUUUGGGGGUCCGAGUUGUAAUUUGCAGAGGAUGCUUUGGCAUUGGCGGCGGUCUAAGUUCCUUGGAACAGGACAUCGCAGAGGGUGAGAAUCCCGUACGUGGGCGCCUGCCUUUGCCGUGUAAAGCUCCUUCGACGAGUCGAGUUGUUUGGGAAUGCAGCUCUAAAUGGGAGGUAAAUUUCUUCUAAAGCUAAAUACCGGCCAGAGACCGAUAGCGCACAAGUAGAGUGAUCGAAAGAUGAAAAGUACUUUGGAAAGAGAGUCAAAAAGCACGUGAAAUUGUUGAAAGGGAAGCGCUUGCAGCCAGACUUGCCCGCAGUUGCUCACCUAGGCUUUGGCCUGGGGCACUCUUCUGCGGGCAGGCCAGCAUCAGUUUGGGCGGUCGGACAAAGGCCUCUGUCAAGUAUCUCCCUUCGGGGUGACCUUAUAGGGGAGGCGUAAUGCGACCAGCCCGGACUGAGGUCCGCGCAUCUGCUAGGAUGCUGGCGUAAUGGCUGUAAGCGGCCCGUCUUGAAACACGGACCAAGGAGUCUAACAUCUAUGCGAGUGUUUGGGUGUCAAGCCCGGGCGCGCAAUGAAAGUGAACGGAGGUGGGAACCCUUUGGGUGCACCAUCGACCGAUCCUGAUGUCUUCGGAUGGAUUUGAGUAAGAGCAUAGCUGUUGGGACCCGAAAGAUGGUGAACUAUGCUUGAAUAGGGUGAAGCCAGAGGAAACUCUGGUGGAGGCUCGCAGCGGUUCUGACGUGCAAAUCGAUCGUCAAAUUUGGGCAUAGG